GACUGGGGGUUACGGCGACCGGUCCAUUCAUCUCGAGCCAUCCACCUCCUCCUCUCCCUCGCCCGCCCUCUCGCCCGCCCGCCGUGGAGGGCCCUAAAACCCUCUCUCUUUCCCCCUUUUCGAAUCCGUCCGGCCUCCGAAACCUUAUUCAAAUCCGUUCUAAUCCGUUGAUCUGCUCCUGCGAAAUUCUUCGAAUCCUCCAACAACGAUCGAAGGAGGAAUGUAGAGGGCGGAAUCGAAGAGAGCAUGCGUCUCGCGCCGUGAUCCGAACUCCGUGGGAAUGGCAGAUGAAUGUGUGAGGGAAGUGCCACUCAAUGUUGAUACUGAUAUUAAUGAAGGAAAGGAUGCUGGGCUGAAUGGGAAUAACGCAGCACCUGCAGAUGAUAGAACAUCUCAGGAGCUGCUGAAUGUAUCCCCCACUAAGGGAUCCUUACUGGGUGAGGAUAAAGAAGUUACUGUUGAAUACAAUGUUCAUGAUGUAGAUAAAAAGGAUAACGCUGAACUUGAAGAGGAUCGUAAAGCAGUUGGAGGAGAUGAUAAGACACCUCGAGUUGGGAUGAUUUUCAAAUCUUAUGAUGAAGUUUCUAAUUUCUAUAAGCAAUAUGCUCUGCAUGUAGGCUUUGGAGUGGCUGUAAGAAAGUCCCAAUUUACAAAAUCUGGAGUAUGUAGAAGGUUGAUACUUGCAUGUUCCAGGGCAGGCCGGGGACGACAAGAUGCAUGCUACCAAGCUAGACAGACUGCAAAAACAAACUGCCAGGCGAUGAUUGUAUUGAAAUUGUGGGGUGAUGGGUUGCUUCAUUUAGCAGAAGCCAAUCUUGAGCAUAAUCAUCCAUUAAGCCCGUCAACAGCACGUUUCUUGAGCUGUUAUAAAAAAAUGACUGAUGUGAUGGCAGAAGGACCUACUGCACGACCGAAUGGACAUCGGAACAUUCAGUCUGAGAACAGAAACUCUAAUAAGAUAGGACGGUUAAAGCUUGGGGAAGGAGAUGAUGAAUCUAUUUGUCAAUUUUUUUCAGGCAUGCAGAACAAGAAUCCAAACUUCUUUUAUUUAGUGGAUUUCGAGAAGCAUGGUCAUUUGAGGAAUUUGUUUUGGGCUGAUGCCAGAUCUAGGGCAGCAUAUCAGUACUUUGGUGAUGUCAUUUCCUUUGAUACAACCUACUUAACUGAAAAAUAUGAUUUGCCUCUGGUUUUGUUCAUUGGUAUGAACCAUCAUGGACAAUCAGUGUUGUUGGGAUGUGGUUUAGUUUCAGAUGAAACAAUUGAGACCUAUAUUUGGUUAUUUAAGGCAUUCCUAACAUGUAUGCUAGGGUGCUGUCCAAAUGCUAUAAUCACUGACCAUUGUAUGGCCAUUCAGGGUGCAGUUGCAGAGGUUUUUCCUGGAGUUAGACAUCGUUUAUGCAUGUUCCAUAUAAUGAAAAAGAUUCCAGAGGAAUUGAAGGGUUUUGCAGACUUCAAAGCUGUCAAGAAGGCAGUAAAAAAAGCAGCAUAUGACUCUUUAAGAGUCAAUGAGUUUGAAGAAGAAUGGAAAAAAAUGAUCGAGAGACAUGAACUUGAAGGUAAUGAAUGGCUUGACUCGUUAUAUGAAAAUCGGAACAUGUGGGUACCAGCUUAUCUUAAAGAUGUUUUUUGGGCAGGAAUGUCCAUUUCUCAACGUGGUGAGACUGUAACUGCAUUUUUUGAUGGGUGUUUAUAUCCAAGAACUUCCAUAAAGCACUUUCUCAGUAAAUAUGAGAUGAUCUUACAAAGUAAGUACAAAAAGGAGGCACAAGCAGACUCAGAAUCAUUCCACAAGACCCCACUCACUAUAUCUAAAUUUUAUAUGGAAGAACAACUUUCUAAAUUGUACACUGUUAGCAUGUUCAGGAAAUUUCAGGAUGAGCUAAAAGCCACUAUGUAUUGUGAUGUUUCACCAAUAAAGGUUGAUGGAUCACUCGUUACGUUUGAAGUCAGAGAGUGUUCAUAUAUGGAAGAUGGUAAAAGGACAGAGAAGAAGGAUCAUGAGGUUCUUUAUGAUGCAGAUAAACUUCAGGUGCAAUGCAUUUGUGGAUCAUUUCAGUUCAGGGGCAUUUUGUGUAGGCAUACUUUAUCCGUUUUUAAGUUGCAGCAAGUGUUUGAGAUUCCAUCUCAUUACAUUCUUGAUCGUUGGAAAAAAGAUUAUAAGCGAUUACAUGCUCUUGCUCAUCCUUCACAUGAUAUGCUAACUGAUAAUAUCAUGGAGCGCUAUGAUUAUCUAUCCAUGCGUUGCCUUCAUCUUGCUGAGCUAGGAUUCAUGUCUGAUGAUAGGUACCAGGUUGCGUUGAAGUUAAUAAGAGAGAUGGAGAAGUCUCUUUUAGAUAAUGGCUUGUGCAGAGACAGGCAACCUAUGCUGCUAUCCUUUGAAAUGCAGUCACAUGAAAAUGUUCAAAAUCUUUUGGUAUCCCAACUGGGCAUUUCUGAGGGCAAUAAGAAUUCUAACUCUUUGCAAGUGAAGCGGAGGGGUCGGCCACCGAAAAAAGGGAGAGAACCUCAAGUAGAUUUAUCAGUUCGAUCAAGCAAGGAACAGGAUUUUCUAAGAUCAUCAUUAGUUGGCAAUGAAAACAAUGUGCUUCAAUCUGCCCCACUUGCUUCGCAUCUUGAUGCUCCUAUAGGGACACAAGGAGGCAUUGAUCUAAUGGAAGAAGUACCCCCAGAUGACUUGUCAUUUGGCAGUCAUUUCAGCAUCCAUGUUAAUCACCAGCAUCAUAUGGGCAAUCAUACAAGGCUGCAGUCAAGCAAUUUACUGCAGGAUGUUUGCAAACUUCAGGGUCAGUAUGAUCACCAAACAGUUGGAAGUCAGUCAAGGGUGCAGUGGAUUUAUCAACAGAUGUUGCAGGAGGAUCAGAUGCCAAAUGCACAUUCUGGCCGAAGGACUGGGUAGAAGAUGAGGAUGUAGGUUAGAUGAGGGUGUAGGUUAUCAAAUGCAAGCUCAGGUCUAAAGGCUGUGGAGGAAAAGGUGGGAACAUUCACUGAAGGUACUUAACAAUGAUUAAUAUGAACUAUCACGAUGAAUACUAGACCUGACAUGCCUGCUUGCUGAUGGUGCUCAGCACCAAUGGUAGACUUGACAUUGCCUGCUUACCGGUGUUGCUCAGCACCAUGGUUGACCUCUAGUUCCUGAGGAAUCUGAAUUGAACUUUGGGUAAUUCAGACACCAGUUGCCACUGGAAGAUGUAGUGGUAGAUAAUCUGACCGAGAUAAAAAUACAAGAUAGAGGCUACAUUUUGCAACUGAAAUAUUCAAUAAGAACAGCAGCAGGAAGCAUUUGCAUACAAAACGCCUUUUUGUUGAUGGAAAUUCCUAUUUGUUGAUUUUGUUCAAUCAAUCUUACUUUCCCUUUUUUUUUUGAAUAUAUUAACAAGCCUUCUUCUGAUUUUAGCUCGAAUAGUUUCUUAUUGUGCCUUUGAAAUGGCUUCUGUCAAUGUGCAUAUGGAUGUGUUUGUAUA